rnacentral:rRNA from 1 species
GUAGGGAAUAUUGCGCAAUGGACGAAAGUCUGACGCAGCGACGCCGCGUGAGUGAUGAAGGCCUUAGGGUCGUAAAGCUCUGUUGAAUGGGAAGAAAAAAAUGACGGUACCAUUCGAGGAAGGACCGGCUAACUUCGUGCCAGCAGCCGCGGUAAUACGAGGGGUCCUAGCGUUGUUCGGAAUCAUUGGGCGUAAAGGGUGUGUAGGUGGCCAUGUAAGUCAGGUGUGAAAGCCCCGGGCUCAACCCGGGAAGUGCACUGGAUACUGCGUGGCUUGAGUACCGAAGAGGGUAGUGGAAUUCCAGGUGUAGUGGUGAAAUACGUAGAUAUCUGGAGGAACACCGGUGGCGAAGGCGGCUACCUGGUCGAGUACUGACACUGAGACACGAAAGCAUGGGGAUCAAACAGGAUUAGAAACCCCGGUAGUCC